GACGAACGCUGGCGGCGUGCCUAAUACAUGCAAGUUGAGCGCUGAAGGUUGGUACUUGUACCAACUGGAUGAGCAGCGAACGGGUGAGUAACGCGUGGGGAAUCUGCCUUUGAGCGGGGGACAACAUUUGGAAACGAAUGCUAAUACCGCAUAAAAACUUUAAACACAAGUUUUAAGUUUGAAAGAUGCAAUUGCAUCACUCAAAGAUGAUCCCGCGUUGUAUUAGCUAGUUGGUGAGGUAAAGGCUCACCAAGGCGAUGAUACAUAGCCGACCUGAGAGGGUGAUCGGCCACAUUGGGACUGAGACACGGCCCAAACUCCUACGGGAAGCAGCAGUAGGGAAUCUUCGGCCAUGGACGGAAGUCUGACCGAGCAACGCCGCGUGAGUGAAGAAGGUUUUCGGAUCGGAAAACUCUGUUGGUGGAGAAGAACGUUGGUGAGAGUGGAAAGCUCAUCAAGUGACGGUACCUACCCAGAAAGGAACGGCUAACUACGUG
rnacentral:rRNA from 1 species